UACGAGAGGCCCAAACGUUAUUCGGAAUUAUUGGGCGUAAAGAGCUCGUAGGCGGUCUGUCGCGUCUGCUGUGAAAACCUAGGGCUUAACUCUGGGCGUGCAGUGGGUACGGGCAGGCUAGAGUGCGGUAGGGGAGACUGGAAUUCCUGGUGUAGCGGUGAAAUGCGCAGAUAUCAGGAGGAACACCGGUGGCGAAGGCGGGUCUCUGGGCCGUAACUGACGCUGAGGAGCGAAAGCAUGGGGAGCGAACAGG
rnacentral:rRNA from 1 species